CACUCCUACGGGAGGCAGCAGUGGGGAAUAUUGCACAAUGGGCGCAAGCCUGAUGCAGCCAUGCCGCGUGUAUGAAGAAGGCCUUCGGGUUGUAAAGUACUUUCAGCGGGGAGGAAGGCGAUAAGGUUAAUAACCUUGUCGAUUGACGUUACCCGCAGAAGAAGCACCGGCUAACUCCGUGCCAGCAGCCGCGGUAAUACGGAGGGUGCAAGCGUUAAUCGGAAUUACUGGGCGUAAAGCGCACGCAGGCGGUCUGUCAAGUCGGAUGUGAAAUCCCCGGGCUCAACCUGGGAACUGCGUUCGAAACUGGCAGGCUAGAGUCUUGUAGAGGGGGGUAGAAUUCCAGGUGUAGCGGUGAAAUGCGUAGAGAUCUGGAGGAAUACCGGUGGCGAAGGCGGCCCCCUGGACAAAGACUGACGCUCAGGUGCGAAAGCGUGGGGAGCAAACAGGAUUAGAAACCCCGGUAGUCCCAUG
rnacentral:rRNA from 1 species